rnacentral:lncRNA from 1 species
UGGAUUUGGAAUUAUGGUAAAAUCUCUCAUGGUAUAGAUGAAUAAAUUUCAGGCGCAUCUUGAAAAUACAGAGCUAGUUGAUUUUGUUUCGGGUCCGUACUGUUUUGCAAUUUUAAGAAGUUGAUUCAGUUUCUUGUUAAAUUACUUAAUAUGUAGUGUGAGCUGGACAUCACGUUCCAUUUGGAGAGGCCCGUUUUAUAGUGCAGGAGAAGGUCAUGGAUGGGUGUAUGGCAGAGCCAAGCAAGUCAACUAUUCUGACACCCCAAUAAAACUGAUGGAGAAAACAUCUUGAAAUAGUUGUAAGGGCUCCAGGGUUUUGUGAGAGAUUCAUAACAGGUUGGCCACUGGUUUAUGUUGGUUGGAUC